GCGGAUUAAUUCGAUGCAACGCGAAGAACCUUACCAAGGCUUGACAUACACGAGAACACCCUAGAAAUAGGGGACUCUUUGGACACUCGUGAACAGGUGGUGCAUGGUUGUCGUCAGCUCGUGUCGUGAGAUGUUGGGUUAAGUCCCGCAACGAGCGCAACCCUCGUUCUAUGUUGCCAGCACGUAAUGGUGGGAACUCAUGGGAUACUGCCGGGGUCAACUCGGAGGAAGGUGGGGAUGACGUCAAAUCAUCAUGCCCCUUAUGUCUUGGGCUUCACGCAUGCUACAAUGGCCGGUAC
rnacentral:rRNA from 1 species